UACGGAGGGUGCAAGCGUUAUCCGGAUUUACUGGGUUUAAAGGGUGUGUAGGCGGACUUUUAAGUCAGCGGUGAAAUCUCCGGGCUCAACCCGGAAACUGCCAUUGAUACUAUUGGUCUUGAAUGUUGUUGAGGUGGGCGGAACGGGUCAUGUAGCGGUGAAAUGCAUAGAUAUGACCCGGAACACCGAUGGCGAAGGCAGCCCACUAAGCAACGAUUGACGCUGAGGCACGAAAGCGUGGGGAGCAAACAGG
rnacentral:rRNA from 1 species